UACGGAGGGAGCUAGCGUUGUUCGGAUAUACUGGGCGUAAAGGGCGCGUAGGCGGAAUGGCAAGUCGGUCGUGAAAUCCUUCGGCUCAACCGAAGAACGUCGAUCGAAACUGCCGUUCUUGAGGAUUGCAGAGGAGACUGGAAUUCCCGGUGUAGCGGUGAAAUGUGUAGAGAUCGGGAGGAACACCGGUGGCGAAGGCGGGUCUCUGGGCAAUUCCUGACGCUGAGGCGCGAAAGCGUGGGGAGCAAACGGG
rnacentral:rRNA from 1 species